UUAAGUUCAGCGGGUAUUCCUACCUGAUUCGAGGUCAACUCUUGAGAGAAGUUGGGCGUUUUACGGCCGUGGCCGCGCCGCGCUCCCGCUUGCGAGGUGGUAUGCUACUGCGCAAAGGAAGGCCGCGACGAGGCCGCCGAUUCAUUUCGGGGGCGGCGGUGCCGGUCCCCAACAGCAACACCCCAGGGGGUCUUGAGGGU
rnacentral:misc_RNA from 1 species